GAGUAGGAGAGCUAAUAAUGACCGGUCAGAUGGGAAAGCCAGAGGAGAAAGACCACGUGGAGGAAUACAAGCUGCUAAGAUGUCUAAUGUGCUUUCCUUCGGUUACUCUUCCAUUCAGAGUGAGAACUAGGUCGCUUUCUGCUGGUAUCCACCCCAUUUAGCAUGCUUAUAAAGCUUGGAAGGACAGCCACAGCUCUCAAAUUGCCUGCUGAGACAUGGCACGCUGAAAACAGGGCAUGACACAGUAACACGUGAUGGACGGUGGGGGAGAUGGCUUCACUGGUCUCCUAGCUCUAUUUCCUACAGCUCUAAAUCAGCGUGAGGAACUCUGGCACUGCCAGGAGGGGCACAGCAGGGCUUUCUGCCCCUGGAGGCUGAAACUGCACAGAAAGAGGAGCAAGGUCCCUUCAGGCAUUCAGCUUUCAGAAAGACCAAAGCUAUGAGCUUUGGCAAAGGUGGGGUUUUUUCCACUUUGAAUUCUUGAAUUCUGCAUGUUCCAG